UUUCCUGCCAUUGAUGUAUGGGCUGCGGAUCACCUCAGUGUUCGAGUACAUCCGGCAGCGCUUCAACUCAGCCAUUGCGCUGACCGCCUGUAUCAGCUACAUUUUCCUCACGCAAAGCAUUGGCGCAAUAGCUAUCUUCGCGGCCGGAAUUACCAUUGUCACAGUUUUUGGAGUGCCGUUAGUGCUAUGCAACAUUGUCAUUGGAC
rnacentral:lncRNA from 1 species